ACGCUCGACACCUACUGGAGGCAGCAGUGGGGAAUAUUGCACAAUGGGGGAAACCCUGAUGCAGCGACGCCGCGUGGAGGAAGAAGGUCUUCGGAUUGUAAACUCCUGUUGUUGGGGAAAAAGAGGAUGGUACCCAACAAGGAAGUGACGGCUAACUACGUGCCAUCACGCCGGUACGGUAAUCUGGACGGGCCGGGUCGUGGACGAAGGC
rnacentral:rRNA from 1 species